UUGCGGACGGGUGAGUAACGCGUGGGGAACCUGCCUUGCACCGGGGGAUAACACUUAGAAAUAGGUGCUAAUACCGCAUAAGCGCACAGUCUCGCAUGAGACGGUGUGAAAAACUCCGGUGGUAUACGAUGGAUCCGCGUCUGAUUAGCUUGUUGGCGGGGUAACAGCCCACCAAGGCGACGAUCAGUAGCCGGCCUGAGAGGGUGAACGGCCACAUUGGGACUGAGACACGGCCCAAACUCCUACGGGAGGCAGCAG
rnacentral:rRNA from 1 species